CAAAAUUACAACAACAAUGAUUUCUCCGAGACUUACAACAACAACGACGAUGCUUUCUCAGAGAAUCACAACAACAACAAUGAUGCUUUCUCGGAGAAUCACAACAACAACAAUGAUGGUUUUUCGGAGAAUUACAACAACCUCAACCAUAACAACAAUGAUUUCUCCGAAAAAUACAACCACAACAACAAUGAUUUCUCCGAGAAUUACAACAACAACAACAAUGUUUUCUCCAAGAAUUACAACAAUAACAAUGAUUUCUCCGAGAAAUACAACAACAACAACAAUGUUUUCUCCGAGAAUUACAACAACAACAACAAUGAUUUCUCCGAGAAAUACAACAACAACAACAAACUCUACUCUGAGAAUAAUAACAACAACAACAACGACGACAAUAGCUACUCCAAGAAUUACAACAGCAACAAUGAUUUCUCCGAGAAUUACAACAACAACAACAAUGGUUUCUCUGAAAAUUACAACAACAAUGACUUCUCGGGGAAUUACAAAACUAACAACAACAACAAUGUUUUCUCUGAGAAUUACAACAACAA
rnacentral:lncRNA from 1 species